AUGGGAUUGGUGGUGUUGAUAAGCAGACGGAGAAGUGAAUGCUGCAGAAGGGGUCAGAGAUCGAUGAAGUAUGUUGACAGCGAAGGAACUCUUGAUGGAAUCGAUGGCGUUGAAGAUGCUGGUUUGCAAAGCAGAGAACAGUCGACGAUGGGAGUAAGGUUCACGAUGAAGAUGGUGAGUAGCAAAACUAGAGCGAGACUAUGGUGUUUGAAGAUGAAGUUGAGGGAGAGUAUGGAGAUAUCUCUCAAUUAA